CUAUAAAUACUGACAUCAGGGGCACUGUAGUACCAAAUAUGAACACCAGGCUUAUAUUUUCCCCUCAGCGCAAGGCGGGAUAAAUAUAGGCCUCAUAUUUAUCUGUUUGAUGCGGUAAUGCAAACAGUCUCCAAUUGAAAGAUAUGAAAGUUUCAAAAACGUUCACCAUUUUGUUAUUUAUUAAAAUCUUAACUAUAUAUAUAUAUAUAUAUAUAUAUAUUCAUCAUUGUAAAUUAUCUUUAUACUAUAAAUAUAAUCCAAUUACUUAUCCAAUUACAAAUAUAAAUUAUGGUAAAGUCAAAAUUUAAAAUGAGAAAUAUUAAUUCUGUGGGUCUAAUAAAAUCUUGCAAGCUUUGCCAGAAAACAACAACUCAAAUGCCUAACAAAAUGUAGAAAAUAAACUAAUAAAGUAAGCUUGAUUUGAUGACACUGGAGUAUAUAUCACCCAGACAUAAUACCUGCCCUGGUAGUCAUGUAGUUGCACUCUGCACUCGCCAUGUGUCCCUAGACCCAAGAGGGGGUGAAAGCCUCUCUUACUCUCAUUUAGAGUAGAAAAAUGGAUUUUGACAAUUUCAAAAAGUUUAGAGCAGGUUGGGGUUCUUUAUGAAUUUUCUAGAAAUUUCCUGUAGUCCACCCUUUGAUCACCUCAUGGAUGCCUGUGGUUCCCCCUUUGUGUUUUUAUCAGUCGAAACUAACUGUUUUGAUGAGAGAAAUGCUUUUCAACAAUUUUCACAAAGUUUACAGUGGUUUGGGGCAGUUUUUGAAUUUUAAAAAAUUUCCUGUCGAAACUGUUUUGAUGAGAGAAAUGGUUCAAUUAUCAGAAAGUAUGGACAAGGGAACACGCCAGAAAUACUUGUGUAAAUUUAUACUAACCUUUUAAUUACAUGUAAAUGUUUUCAAUUUUCAUCGGCCGCCAUUUUGAAUGUUGAAAGCGG